rnacentral:rRNA from 1 species
CCCUUAGAUGUCCGGGGCCGCACGCGCGUUACACUGAUGCAUUCAACGAGCUUAUAACCUUGGCCGAGAGGCCUGGGCAAUCUUGUUAACGUGCAUCGUGAUAGGGAUAGAUUAUUGAAAUUAUUAAUCUUGAACGAGGAGUUCCUAGUAAACGCAGAUCAUCAAUCUGCAUUGAUUACGUCCCUGCCCUUUGUACACACCGCCCGUCGCUCCUACCGAUUGAGUGGUCCGGUGAGGCUUUGGGAUCUGAGCGGAAAGAGCGUUUCGCUGUUUCUGCUCGGAAAACUCAGUCGAACCUUAUCAUUUAGAGGAAGGAGAAGUCGUAACA